GAUGAACGCUGGCGGCGUGCCUAAUACAUGCAAGUCGAGCGAACAGACGAGGAGCUUGCUCCUCUGACAUUAGCGGCGGACGGGUGAGUAACACGUGGAUAACCUACCUAUAAGACUGGGAUAACUUCGGGAAACCGGAGCUAAUACCGCAUAAAAUAUUUAACCACAUGGUUCAAUAUUGAAAGACGGUUUUGCUUUCCCUUAUAGAUGGAUCCGCGCCGAAUAAGCUAUUUGGUAAGGUAACGGCUUACCAAGGCAACGAUGCGAAGCCGACCUGGGAGGGGGAUCGGCCACACUGGAACUGAGACACGGUCCAGACUCCUAGGGGAGGCGGCAGUAGGGAAUCUUCCGCAAUGGGCGAAAGCUUGACGGAGCAACGCCGCGGGAGUGAUGAAGGUCUUCGGAUCGUAAAACUCUGUUAUUAGGGAAGAACAAAUGUGUAAGUAACUACGCACGUAUUGACGGUACCUAAUCAGAAAGCCACGGCUAACUACGUG
rnacentral:rRNA from 1 species